rnacentral:rRNA from 1 species
AUUGAACGCUGGCGGCAUGCUUUACACAUGCAAGUCGAGCGGCAGCGCGGGGGCAACCCUGGCGGCGAGCGGCGAACGGGUGAGUAAUGCAUCGGAACGUACCCUGGAGUGGGGGAUAACGCCGCGAAAGCGGCGCUAAUACCGCAUAUGCUCUGAGGAGGAAAGUGGGGGACCGCAAGGCCUCACGCUCUGGGAGCGGCCGAUGUCCGAUUAGCUAGUUGGUGGGGUAAAGGCUUACCAAGGCGACGAUCGGUAGCUGGUCUGAGAGGAUGAUCAGCCACACUGGGACUGAGACACGGCCCAGACUCCUACGGGAGGCAGCAGUGGGGAAUUUUGGACAAUGGGGGCAACCCUGAUCCAGCCAUGCCGCGUGAGUGAAGAAGG